rnacentral:rRNA from 1 species
GAUCAUGGCUCAGAUUGAACGCUAGCGGCAGGCCUAACACAUGCAAGUCAGGGGUAGAGGAAGCUUGCUUCCUUGAGACCGGCGCACGGGUGCGUAACGCGUAUGCAAUCUACCUUAUACAGGGGAAUAGCCCAGAGAAAUUUGGAUUAAUGCCCCAUAGUGUUAUUGAAUCGCAUGGUUUAGUAACUAAAGUUCCAACGGUAUAAGAUGAGCAUGCGUCCCAUUAGUUAGUUGGUAAGGUAACGGCUUACCAAGACAAUGAUGGGUAGGGGUCCUGAGAGGGAGAUCCCCCACACUGGUACUGAGACACGGACCAGACUCCUACGGGAGGCAGCAGUGGGGAAUAUUGCACAAUGGGGGAAACCCUGAUGCAGCCAUGCCGCGUGUGUGAAGAAGGCCUUCGGGUUGUAAAGCACUUUCAGCGAGGAGGAAAGGUUGGUAGCUAAUAACUGCCAACUGUGACGUUACUCGCAGAAGAAGCACCGGCUAACUCCGUG